CUUUUUAGAGUUAGAAGCAGUGAGCCAUGUAUUUUCAACAGCACGGCGAGUAACAGUACCCAUUGGAAUAAUACAAGGUAAUAUAAUACCAAAACCAUCGACAGAGGACGGAACUCCAAGUUCAGCAUCUUUGUCCCAAACUACCAUUUGCGAUCGAAUUCGAUCACGAGCACUACUCCAGUAAGAACAUGAUGCACUCAUUUCUAGAGCCUUUUUAGCCACUUCAUAAUCUGAUUGUAAAAUACCCUCUUCGAAGUAUCGCUGAUAUGAUUUGGAGAGUGGCGAACCACAUCUAGCUUCAGGCCCAUCUUUGUGCGGGACUUUAAAAAAAAUGUAGUUAUUGUAGUCCAAUUUUGUAUCUUCUUCUCUACUGCAAGGUACAAGCCCUUGAUCAAGAAGCAUUUCGAUUUCAUCUUUAGAUGUCCUUUCGACAGAGAAAACCCAACCAUAGGUAUCAGACCAAGCUAAAGGAUGUUUCUUCCAUUUCAAACGUAAAAGUAUGGGAGCAAGACGAGAUUUUGCAGUAAUCACAGCUCUUUUUUCGGUUUUACAAUAAGCCUUUUUGUACCAUUUGGGAACCACUGGGACCUCUUGUGUUGCUUUUUUUAACUUCCUAUAAAGAUUACAUGGUGUCCAAUCAAGUUGACGGAGCCAUGGGUCUUUCAGGACGGUAUCCUUAGUAUUGAUUAAAUCCUUGGCCUUUUCAGCAUACUGUGACAGUUUUUGAUCAACUAAUUGAAUCAUUUGUUGAUACUGUUCUUCUACGCCGUUAAUAUAACGGGUCCAUGAAUGGUUAACUGGAAGAAAUACGCUACCCAGAGAUAGCAUAGCACUAAAAGUAGCUGGGUGAGGACAGACUUCCAAAAACUGAGGGAAUACUUUUUUGAAAACUUGAUGUGUAGAGUAUGUAUCAUGCGCACAAUAUGUGAUAAGUUCAUUCAACUUCUGUAGAAUUGGUUCCUUUUCCAAAGAUGCAAAAUCGUCUCUUUUCGAUUUAUCAAGUGUAAUGUUGCAAUGGAACUUUGCGACGUCUUUUAAAGAAUUAACUGAAGAAUGAGCUAACCAUGGUUCUUGUUUUAAGUAAUUUUGAUAAUCGUCAUCAAACGAGGAAGAGUCGUCGUCUUCCGAGGUUUCAGUAGAUUGUGAACGAAUAUACGCCUUUCUCGCUUUGAACCAAGUAGGUUUCUGUCGAGAGCACAUUCCAUGUGUAGCAACAUGCAAUGACAUUGUAUCAAGGAAUACAUUACGAGAAGAUUUGAUAUUGUACUCCUCACGAAUCCUCUGACGAUCAAAGCUAACGUUAUGUCCUACGAACAAAGCUCCCUUUGGGUUAGAUGGGAUUAAUUGACGAUCAUUUUCGGACUUUCCCAGUAGCCAAGGAGAUAGCCAGCAAUACCAUGCGUCUUCAGACACAGCGGUAGCCACGACAGCAAAAGGAGACACCUUGUAUAAAACUUCCACAUCAAAUACCAUACAAUCACUAUCCGGGUAUGGAACACAAGAAAUACUUCCAUCUUUCGCGUAUUUGGUCCAACCAGGUUGGCGCUUCCACGUUUUUGGCUGAACCGGAGUAUCGAUUUUGCUAAAUUUUAUUGCCUUUGAGAGAUGAGGCUCUGCAAAUUCUAAACCUAUAUUGUAAAAAUGUUCAGAAAUCGUUUUUCCUUGCAAAGGAGGAAGUCUAAAGUUAAAGGAUGGAAGCUUUAUCGUUUCUUUAUUCAGUAGUUGGUGCUUCGCCAAAUGGAAUUUUGCCAGAUCAAGGUGCAAUUGAGAAAUCUGUGUAUUUUGCUGUGGAAAUACUUGAUUUUGCAGAGCAGGUGAUAAGUAUUGAACACCGACCGGGUUAAUCCUCAGUGGGGCAUUAUCUAUAAAUGAUUUAGAAGAAUAAUGUCGACAAUAUAGAAAUUUCUUAGUUUUAAUGAUUGAAUGAAUCCAUUUCGAACACGUCAAUGUACUUGGACAAGCUUUGUAGAACAUGAAGUACUUGAGCAAUGGACGCCC
rnacentral:lncRNA from 1 species